rnacentral:sRNA from 1 species
GCGGAGACGCAUGUUUCCGUUCACUCCUCACACCACACUCCGCCCGACUACGUUCGGGCGGUU